UGAAUAUUUGAUAUUUAUUUAUUUCUGAUAUAAAACAUUUUGAUUUUUCUUUUUUUUUCUUUUUUUUUUUUUCUUAAUUCUUUAUUUAUUUUUAUCAUGAUUUUUUUAUUUGCCUUCUUCAGAAAUACUCCCAGCCAGCAGCCAGAUCAUCAGCUGGUCGUAAAGAUAAGGAUGUGGCAGUUAGUUCCCCUUAUUACCGAGAAAUCACAAAACCUUCGCAUGCAGAUCAAAGCUGCAACAAAGGAAGAACUGAUCAUUUUGAUGACCUACCAAGUAUGUAUAUAUAAUAUUAUGAAAAUCACCUAUUAUCUAUAAAUGUGUGUGUAUAGUAGCCUUAAAUUUAUUUAAGUCUACUCUUCCUCUUUCUCUUUUUCUCUUUUACUUGUUUCAGUCAUUUGACUGCGGCCAUGCUGGAGCACCGCCUUUAGUCGAGCAAAUCGACCCCGGGACUUAUUCUUUGUAAGCCCAGUACUUAUUCUAUCGGUCCUCUUUUUGCCGAACUGCUAAGUGACGGGGACGUAAACACAUCAGCAUCGGUUGUCAAGCAAUGCUAGAGGGACAAACACAGACACACAAACAUAUACAUACACAUACAUAUAUACGACAGGCUUCUUUCAGUUUCCGUCUACCAAAUCCACUCACAAGGCAUUGGUCGGCCCGAGGCUAUAGCAGAAGACACUUGCCCAAGAUGCCACGCAGUGGGACUGAACCCGGAACCAUGUGGUUGGUUAGCAAGCUACUUACCACACAGCCACUCCUGCGCCUACGAGUACAAGUGAUUAUAUAAAAUUUUGCAUGUAUGUCUGUCUCUGAAAAGUUUUUUUUGAUUGUGUGCAGUUUUUCAUUUAUUUGUAUCAUCUUAUCUUGUAUAUUUUUUUAUUUUUGUUUUUUGUUUUCAUUUCCUUAUGAUGUCAUGUGUGCAGAUGUGGCUGUGUGGUUAAGGAAUUUGCUUUGCAUAUACAUGGUCUCAAGUUCAAUCCAUGCAACCUUAGAUAACUUUCUUUUACAAUUAUUUCUUUACUACCCACAAGGGGCUAAACACAGAGGAGACAAACAAGGACAGAUAUCGACCCCAGUGCGUAACUGGUACUUAAGUUAUCGACCCCGAAAGGAUGAAAGGCAAAGUCGACCUCGGCGGAAUUUGAACUCAGAACAUAACAGCGGACGAAAUACUGCUACGCAUUUCGCCCAGCGUGCUAACGUUUCUGCCACAAUUACCUUGGAUGACAGGAUGCUUGUUUUGGAACUAUCGCAAUUUCACACAUGUACAUAUGAUGGACUUUUAGAUUCUGCCAACCAAAUUCUUUGGUUGGCUUGAAGCUAUAGCAAAGAUUCUUACCCAAGCUAUUGCACAGUGGGACUGAACCUGAAACCACGUCCUACCAUAUUGGCAUCUAGGCAAUGGUUUUGUGCUCAGUUCCAAUGUAUGACACUUUAAGCUGGCUUCACAUAAAUUUGGCAGAUAGAGACUGUGGAGAAGCCUGUCAAAGAGAACCUACCUGUUCUCAGGUAGUAGACUUGAUCUAUUGUCUGAUUUAACAUUCAUUAUCAGACCUUUGGGUGCCUUUAGCAGAAUCUGCUCUGUUGCAACCAUAUAAACCGUACCCCAACUCUCAGAAGACCUAUAAACAAAAUAUGGGUCCUGUUUUUUCUCUUUUAACAAAGCAAUUAAAAAAACUGAGAAAGAGAGAGAGAGAGAGAGAAUAAUGUAUUAUAUCUGAAAGUUAGCAUCCCUUUAUUUAGCUUUGCUAUUCAUCAACAUUUGAAGAUAGUCAGCUGCUAUUUAUUUUAUUCCCUGAAAAAAGCACCCACUACACUCAUGGAGUGGUUGGCGUUAGGAAGGGCAUCCAGCCAUAGAAACAUUGCCAGAUCAGACUGGGCCUGGUGCAGUCUUUUGGCUUCCCAGACCCCAGUUGAACCGUCCAACCCAUGCUAGCAUGGAAAGCGGAUGCUAAAUGAUGAUGGUGAUGAUGAUGAUGAAAUAUGGAAAACAAAGUUGUUUCUGGAGAAUAAUUGAUGUCAGACAAAAUGCCUGCAGCAUUUGGUUGCUAUAUUUUAUGAACUCCAUUCAAAGUAAAACACGAUGAAGAUGAUGAUGAUUCAAAGUAAACAAAGUAGAUUGUUUGAAAUGAGCCGAUGUGGUCCACCAUGUAGUCACUGGCUCUGCUAAAAAUAGCUGCAAAAUGUUCUUCAAAAGCAUCUCACCAUCUAAAAAGAAAAGACGAAGGACACAUUUAGAUAAUGUAGUUCUAGGUAUCUUCCUCCCUUCACUUAGAAAAACCAAUAUGGUCAAAGACGGAAUGCUUUAGACUAAAGGUCUACCUUAUCCAGGCUGGAAUGGGCUGGUAACUCAACACUCUUUAAUUCUUCCAGUAAUUGGCAAAAUGAAGUACCAGUCGUUUAAUGGUUUGGUUUAAUGUUCCUAAAAGGUUUUCCUAAAUGUAAGUGAAAACUGACUCUUCAGCUAUUUUUCCUUUUCAUCUUUCUGUGGGUUGUCGAA
rnacentral:lncRNA from 1 species